ensembl:lncRNA
GUUCCACGUCGUCUGCUUUCUGUUUCUGUAUCCUGGCGAGGCACGUAUAUAUAGGCAGCAGUAUUGAUGUCCAUUGUACAGGCAACAAGACCGAGGUAAAAAAAACAGGUCUGGAAGCUCAAAGUCUGAAAUCAAGAUGUCAGCGGGACCCUGGUCUCUCUGGAGGCUGGAGAGGAGCAUCUUUCCACAUCUUCUGCACCUUUGGUGACGCCAGGCUUCCCGGCCUUCCUUGGCUUGUGGUCACAUCACUCCAGUGUGUGCCUCCACCUUCACAUCACCUUCUCUGUGUGUCUCCUCUUCUCUGUGUGUGUUUUUUAAACUUACUAGUUAUACCUAUUUAUUUAUUUUUGGCCACACUGGGUCUUCUUUGCCGCGCUCAGGCUUUCUCUAUUUGCGGCGAGGGGACUACUCUUUGCGGUGUGUGGGCUUCUCUUGUGGUGACUUCUCUUGUGGCAAAAAAUGGGCUCUAUGUGGCACAGGGGCAUAGUUGUUCCACGGCAUGUGGGAUCUGCCCAGACCAGGGAUCUUCCCUGUUCCCUUCACUGGCAGGUAGAUUUUUAACCAAUGGACCACCAAGGAGCUCCUCCUCUUCUGUCUAAGGACUCCUGCCUUGGAUUUAGGGCCUUCUCUGGUAAUCCAGCCAGGAUGAUCUCAUUUCAAUAAUCUCAUAAUCUUAUUAUGUCUGCAAAGAGCCUUUUCUCAUAUAAGGUUCCAGGGAUUUGGACAUGGAAAUGUCUUUCUGGGGGCCACCAUUCAAUCCACUAUCCCUACGAAGUGGCUGUCAUUCCAAUGAAUCACGGUAAUGCUCAGAGGUGGUAACUGGGUGCCUUUCUGAUGGCAACACUGCUGGGACAUACUAGUGCUAGUUAUAGCAUAGCUACCAAUGCCCUUCAGGUGAGCUUGUUUCACAGUCCAGAUUUGAAUUUAUAUUCUAUUUUAUUGACUGCCUUUAACUCCUCAUGGAAUUUGGCACCAACCCGCCUACCUGGACUGCACACUUCACAUGAUUAAGCUUUGUGUUUAUUAACAUAACAUAUAAAAAUAUUUUUUCUGCUUAUCUCUAAAGACAUCUGAACUUGAGAAUCCUAGAUCCAUGUCUUUUCAAUCUGUUAGGCUCAUUAACUCUCAGGGUUAGAGAUUCAGUGGAACCUAGUUGAAGUCUGUCAUUCUUGUUAUGGUUUUGCCUGACUAGCUGGUCACACUCCUAAGGUCUUUCCACUGCCAGUUUCAAACAACUGGGUAGGACUCUUAGGACUUUGAACAAAUCAUUGAGCAAUGACUCUUAAAGAACCAAUACUGAUAGUAGGUUCUUACUUAAAGGAGAUGGAUUUGUACAGUGGUUAAGAAACUAUUCUAUACGUAUAAGCUGUACGACUUGAGAAAAUUACCUAGUCUUUCUGAGAUGGUGGACCCCUGUCUAUAAAGUGGAAGCAACAUCAUUUCAAGUUACUUCAUUGGGUAGUGAGGAUUAAAAGAGAAGUGCCUGUACAGUACUUCUCACAGUGCAAAAAGCAUUUUUUAAAAAGUGUUAGUGUUUAGAAUAUUAGAAUUUAUACAUCUAGCAGCUGUUCAGAAGAGUGUUCCUGUGUUCCUUUAGGGACUGUUGAACACAAACUUGGUAGAGGACUAUAGGCCUUAAAAGGAGGUUUUCUUCUCCAUAAAAUGCAUUCAUUCAUUUUGAUUUAUAUUCAGAUAUUUAUUGAGCAUCUACUAUUUGCUAGCCACUGUUCUAAGUGUUUGGGAUGGAUCACUGAACAAAACAAGCACCAAUCUCUGCCUUACAGAGCUUAAGUUCUAGUGGAAGGAGCCUUAUUGAAGGGAAAAGUAUAACCCAAUAAGUGGAGCAGGGGAAGGGGGAAAGGCAGUGCCAAGAAGGCAGACCCCAUAAUGAAGAAGACAUUUGAGUAAGGACUUGAAGGAGGUGAGGGGUAUGCAGAUGGAUGGGGAUACAGCAUUUCAGGCAGUUUAGGAACCAACAGUGCAAAGGCCCUGAGGUGGGAGCAUUCCUGACAUGUUCAAGGGUAAGCAAGAGGUGAUGCAACUGGAGUGGUAUGAGCAAGAAGGAGAGUAGAAGGGAAAGCGGUAGAGAGAUGACAAGGCUAGAUCUUGAAUGUCAUUGCUGCUGCUGCUGCUAAGUCGCUUCAGUCAUGUCCGACUCUGUGCGACCCCAUAGACGGCAGCCCAACAGGCUCCCCUGUCCCUGAGAUUCUCAGCAUCCCUUUAAUAAGAUGGGAGGUCAUUGCAAGAUUAAGAGCAGAGGGAUGACAUGAUUUAACUUGAAUUUGAAAAGGAUCACUUUGGAUACAGUGUGGAUAAUAGAUGGUUGGAAGAGAAGGGUAAAAGCAGGGAGACCAGUCAGAGGGUAUACAGGAAUCUAAGCAAGAGACAAAGGUAGCUCAGACAGGGAGGUAGCACUGAAGCUGGUGAAAAGUGGGCAGAUUCUGCUUUCAUGAUAAAAAAGCGAAGGCAAUUUGUUGACAUACUGGCUGUGGGAUCUCUGAGGAAAGGUAAAGGAAGGCACUAAGAUUGUUGGCCUGAGCAACCUGAAGAAUUGUGUUACCAUCAGUGGAGACGGGGAGGACUGUGAGGAGGUCAGGUUUCAGGGGGCAGUGAAUGACGAGAUGGGCUUCCCUGGUGGCUCAGUGGUAAAGAAUCUCCCUGCCAAUACAGGAGACGUGGGUUCAAUCCUUGGGUCAAGAAGAUUCCCUGGAGGAGGAAAUAGCAACCUACUCCAGUACUCUAGCCUGGAAAACACCACGGACAGAGGAACCUGGUGGCCUACAGCCCAUAGGGUCACAAAGAGUUCAACACGACUGAGCAUGCAUGCAUGCUCAUUCAAAGAGGAAUUUU